UGGGGAAUCUUAGACAAUGGGCGCAAGCCUGAUCUAGCCAUGCCGCGUGAGCGAUGAAGGCCUUAGGGUUGUAAAGCUCUUUCAGGGGGGAAGAUAAUGACUGUACCCCCAGAAGAAGCCCCGGCUAACUCCGUGCCAGCAGCCGCGGUAAUACGGAGGGGGCUAGCGUUGUUCGGAAUUACUGGGCGUAAAGCGCACGUAGGCGGACUGGAAAGUCAGAGGUGAAAUCCCAGGGCUCAACCUUGGAACUGCCUUUGAAACUCCCGGUCUUGAGGUCGAGAGAGGUGAGUGGAAUUCCGAGUGUAGAGGUGAAAUUCGUAGAUAUUCGGAGGAACACCAGUGGCGAAGGCGGCUCACUGGCUCGAUACUGACGCUGAGGUGCGAAAGCGUGGGGAGCAAACA
rnacentral:rRNA from 2 species